CCCUGCUCUCAGGAGAAUCUGGCACAGCACCAUCACCAACUCAGAGGGAGGGAAGCAACCUUGAGUCAGCUCCCAGGCAGUAAUGAGUGUUCAAGGGAGAUAUAACUCUAAGGAAAAGGAUUGAGGUCAUGGAAUUAGAAGAAACAGAUGGAAGAAUCAUUUGAACCAUAUCCAGGUCUUUUGAAAAUGAUGAGACAGAAGAGAAAGAGAAAAUUGCUUCAGACAGUUUUGCUGAGAAAUUUGUCUCAGAUAAAUUUUGGAGUAAGGUCAGAGACCUAAGAUAAGAAAACCCCUAGGCAGAGGUGGGAAAAAAUAGAAAAAAGAAAACGAAAAGAGCAAAUACAUUCUUCCUUCCUAUCUUCCACUUGCCAGAGUAGCUUUACUAAGAUGCUGCCUGAUCAUUUCUCUCCAGACACUUUUGCCAAUGAUAUUAAUACUAUAAAGGAGCAUUUCUGGACUUGAUUCAUUAAUGAUUAGAAAGCUCGUAACAGAUUAGAUGACCAGGCUACAGUCUCACCUGCCAGGCAGUGCAGCUGCAGAUCUUGGCUGACCAUCAUGUCAGGACAUUCUUAAGAAGUGAAGCAGUUUUGAAAAGUGUUGGGCCUUUUUGGAGAGUCAAAUGAAUUUGUGCAUAGGGUCCUCAAUAUAAGACUUGCAGAAUGAGCACCUACUAUGUGCCAGUCACUGUGCCAGGAGUUGGAAAUAUGAGGAAGACCGUAAUUCUCAUAAUGAGAAUACAAGGAAGACCAUCUCUCAAGAAAGGAACAUCAUAAAACAUGUUUACUGUCAAGUCCUUGUCAUUAUCAAAAAUAUCUCCGGAUUGAUGUCAUUCUGAGAAAAGUGAUUUCAUACUGAAAAAAAAUUCUACAAAAAUAGUAAAACUCUUCUUCUCAAUUUUCAGAACUUGGAUGGGGUUGGGGGCAGGUGCUUUCAUCUAUUUUCAUCUUGUCCUGGUAGAAAUUAUUUGCUUGAUUAACAUUUUGGUGGGGAAGUUCAGUCUCUAAGGCUACAGAUGAGAAGAUCAGUUACUGGAUGGGUUCCUAACUUCAAUGUCAAAUCCAAGAGCCUGAAAAUAAAGUAUGGAAAGAAAGGGAAACAAAGAAAAGUUAUCAGACAAUGUGAAGACAUUUUAUGGAGAGGAAGAAAGAGUGAGUGAGCACAGGAAAAAUCACAAAGCAGUAUAUGAAGAAAAGAAAGAGAUAACAGUUAUUAGUAAGUAAAGAGAUAAUUAAGAGAUAAUCCUUUCAGUGGCAUGAACACCAUAGUUUGUGACAUCACUGGUCAUUAAUGAUUUGUAAGAAGCAGUGUCUCAACUAUGUUUCUGUUACAUUAAUUAUACCCGAAAUAAAAUAUUUGCACACC